AAGGGCUGGGUUUGCAGACGGUGGGACCACUCCUUGGCUGAGAGAAGACAGCUGCUCCGGGGGAAGACUGUAGCUCUGGAGAUGGCUCAUCUGUGCGUUUCCUGCUACCAGCUUUUCAUCAAUGAGAGGUCCCAUCUGGUGACACAUUGCUAAGAUGACAAGAUUUGAAGAAAUAUAAGAAAACACAACAAAAGCAAGCCUUUGACAGAUAUUCAUAUAAGAUUGUCCAGAAUGAAACAUGAAAAAAACUAGAAAACUCUUACUGACGCUCUGUUGCUGUCUGAUGGAAAAGAGGUUAAACACCUGCAUGAGCCACAUGAGAUCUCAAACUUUAUCUUGAACAUUAGUCCAAGACAAUUCUAUCCCUUCCAACAGCUGAUUCAGGGAAAAAAGAAAAGCCUCCCAAACAACAAAAAAGCACCAUCACCAGCCCAGGUUAUUAAAAAGUCCAGUGUGCUAUACAAAGCCAUUGAAACAGGGUUCUCCACAUUUUUGAGUUCUAGCAAAAAAAAAAACUUCAUUAAAGAAUGGGUAUCAGAAAUCUGCCUCUCUAGAAGUGAUACAAGACAACCUGGCAAUAACUACAAGAGGACAUCAUUUCGUUAAAGGACUGUAAUUUCUGGUUUGAACACACAUGUACUUAUAAGUACAUAAGAUUCACAUAAGAUUCAACAGAAUAAAUAUGAAUAGAAUCUUAUGUUACACAUAAGAUUCAACAGAAAUAAAAAGACUAAGAUGAAGAUUCUUUCUUAAAAUCCAUGUAAACAAACAAAAAACAA